GCCCAUAGCUUAGUGGUAGAGAAUCUGCUUUGCAUGCAGAAGAUCCCAGGUUCAAUCCCCAACAUCUCCCGGCAGAGCU